rnacentral:rRNA from 1 species
GCGAGGAACCUUACCUAGGCUUGACAUUACUUGACAGUCGUAGAGAUACGAUCUUCCAAGCUUGCUUGGACAAUUGAACAGGUGCUGCAUGGCUGUCGUCAGCUCGUGUCGUGAGAUGUUGGGUUAAGUCCUCUAACGAGCGCAACUCCUGUUGCCAGUUGCUAUUGCGUAAGCAAGCACUCUGGCGAGACUGCCGGUGGGAAACCGGAGGAAGGUGGGAACGACGUCAAGUCAUCAUGGUCCUUAUGUCUAGGGCAACACACGUGUUACAAUGGUUAGUACAAAGGGUCGCGACCCCGUAAGGGCAAGCUAAUCUCAUAAAACUAAUCUAAGUUCGGAUUGAGGUCUGCAACUCGACCUCAUGAAGCUGAAAUCGCUAGUAAUCGCGCAUCAGAACGGCGCGGUGAAUACGUUCUCGGGCCUUGUACACACCGCCCGUCACGUCAUGAGAGCUG